rnacentral:lncRNA from 1 species
CUCGACGAAACACAGGCAGAUUCUUUUAUCCACGGAUUUAGCUCACUUUUCUUCAUUUCUUCAAAGUAUGGACGAUUUUUGGGGAGCUUCAAGAGGGGAUUUUCAUCAUCAAUGUGAAGGUAAGUUAUCCCCACCUAUUUUGAGUUAAGUACAUCAAUUAUGUAUGGAUUUGAGCAUGAAAAUUGUAGAAAAAUUGAGGAUUUAGGCCUAGGGAUUUGAAAAUAAGAUUUGGUGAUUUGAGGGGUCAAAUGAACUCCAAUUUUAGUAAAUUUUAUAUGUACGGACUCGUGGCGAGAUGAGGAAUCCAGUGAUGUGACUUUCGUAAUUUUUCGAGAAGUUGGCCCGGGGCUCGGGUUUUGCUAAUUUCGGUAUUUUCGACAUUUUUCGAGUAUUUUCGAUUGGGUUAUAUUCCCUUAGCCUAUUGUAACAUAUUCGUUGUUGUUUUGACUAGAUUCGAAGCGCGAAGAGGUCGAUUCAAGAGGAAAGGGCAUUGCGGACUAGUCUACGGCCGGUUAAAGGUGAGUAAUAGAUGUAAAUGCUGUUCUAAGGGUUUGAAACCCCGGACUUUCACAUCGUAACGCUAUAUUGAGGCGUGACACGCACUCCAUGGCGAGUGCGGGGUCGGAUACUAUUGGGGAUUGUGACUUGGUCCAUCCUGUGUGAUGUUUAUACUAUACUAGUGAUUGAUACACAUACUUCAUUGAUAUUACUGGGCUUGAUUCCAUGUUUGGGGCCUUGUGCCGAUUUGUAAAAUCCUUCGAGGAGUGAUAUUUCUGCUUAGCAUGAUUUGCAUAUCAUUUAAUUUCAGUCCAAGGUUUUAAAUGUUGUUUUGCAAACUCAGCCAUAAUUCUAAGUGUUGAAAACUUAAAUGAUAUUUUUAAAUGUAUUCCGGGCUGGAACUUCUGUUUUGUAAAUGCCCAAGGGGCUUAUUAUAUUAUUUCCUGGACUAAUUAUAAAGUGACUUGAAACAGUGGUAACAAUGACACUGUGUGAUAUACUUGAAACAAUGGUAACAAUGACACUGGAUGAUAUACUUGAACAGUGGUAACAAUGGCACUGUAUGAUAUAAAUUGGUCAGGUAACAAUGGCUGACCGGUCAGGUAGCAAUGACUGACCAAGAUAUUGCGCUUGGGCUGUAGGAGCCCCUUCAGAGUCUGUACACACCCCCAGUGAGCGCCGUCGACGAUAAAUAAAUAUGGAUGGCUCGGGCUGCACGCCGCAGUGGGUACUGGAAUGUACCAUCAUAUGCAUUGCAUUGCAUUCAUGCAUUUCUAUUUAUACCGUUAUUUAGCUGCUCAGUUCCAUAUGUUGCUGUAUAUUUGGAUUUUAGCUUACUUUGUGUAUUUACUGGAUUUUCUUAUCUUCGGACUGUAGUUACUUUUAUUACUCACUGGGUUGGAGUACUUACUUUACUCCCUGUACCUUGUGUGCAGAUCCAGGGCAGUCUCAAGCUUAGUAGAUCCAGUUGAUCAACA